GGUGCCGUGGCCGAGGGGUUAGGCACAGGUCUGCAAAACCUGGUACACCGGUUCAAAUCCGGUCGGCACCUCCC
rnacentral:tRNA from 1 species